rnacentral:rRNA from 1 species
UACAGAGGGGGCAAGCGUUAUUCGGAAUUAUUGGGCGUAAAGGGUGCGUAGGCGGCGCGGUAAGUCGGGUGUGAAAUCUCGGGGCUUAACUCCGAAACUGCAUUCGAUACUGCCGUGCUUGAGGACUGGAGAGGAGACUGGAAUUUACGGUGUAGCAGUGAAAUGCGUAGAUAUCGUAAGGAAGACCAGUGGCGAAGGCGGGUCUCUGGACAGUUCCUGACACUGAGACACGAAGGCCAGGGGAGCAAACGGG